GAUGAACGCUGGCGGCGUGCUUAACACAUGCAAGUCGAACGGAAAGGCUCCUGCUUGCAGGGGUACUCGAGUGGCGAACGGGUGAGUAACACGUGGGUGAUCUGCCCUGCACUUCGGGAUAAGCCUGGGAAACUGGGUCUAAUACCGGAUAGGACCACAUUUUGGAUGGUGUGGUGGAAAGUUUUUCGGUGUGGGAUGAGCUCGCGGCCUAUCAGCUUGUUGGUGGGGUAAUGGCCUACCAAGGCGUCGACGGGUAGCCGGCCUGAGAGGGUGUAAGGCCACAUUGGGACUGAGAUACGGCCCAGACUCCUACGGGAGGCAGCAGUGGGGAAUAUUGCACAAUGGGCGCAAGCCUGAUGCAGCGACGCCGCGUGGGGGAUGACGGCCUUCGGGUUGUAAACUCCUUUCGCUAGGGACGAAGCGUUUUUGUGACGGUACCUGGAGAAGAAGCACCGGCUAACUACGUG
rnacentral:rRNA from 1 species